GACGAACGCUGGCGGCGUGCUUAACACAUGCAAGUCGAACGCUGAAGCUCAGCUUGCUGGGUGGAUGAGUGGCGAACGGGUGAGUAACACGUGAGUAACCUGCCCUCUUCUUUGGGAUAACGCCCGGAAACGGGUGCUAAUACUGGAUAUUCACUGAUUCUCGCAUGGGGGUUGGUGGAAAGGUUUUUCCUGGUGGGGGAUGGGCUCGCGGCCUAUCAGCUUGUUGGUGGGGUGAUGGCCUACCAAGGCUUUGACGGGUAGCCGGCCUGAGAGGGUGACCGGUCACAUUGGGACUGAGAUACGGCCCAGACUCCUACGGGAGGCAGCAGUGGGGAAUAUUGCACAAUGGGCGAAAGCCUGAUGCAGCGACGCCGCGUGAGGGAUGGAGGCCUUCGGGUUGUAAACCUCUUUCGCUCAUGGUCAAGCCGCAGCUUUGGGUUGUGGUGAGGGUAGUGGGUAAAGAAGCGCCGGCUAACUACGUG
rnacentral:rRNA from 1 species